UACGUAGGGUGCGAGCGUUAAUCGGAAUUACUGGGCGUAAAGCGUGCGCAGGCGGUCUGUUAAGACAGAUGUGAAAUCCCCGGGCUUAACCUGGGAACUGCAUUGUGACUGCAUCGCUGGAGUGCGGCAGAGGGGGAUGGAAUUCCGCGUGUAGCAGUGAAAUGCGUAGAUAUGCGGAGGAACACCGAUGGCGAAGGCAAUCCCCUGGGCCUGCACUGACGCUCAUGCACGAAAGCGUGGGGAGCAAACAGG
rnacentral:rRNA from 1 species